AACCUGGAGCAUUCUCUCCGUGCUGGACCUCUCUGCUGUGCUGUGGGGAUUAGAAUUCCCCUCCACACCCCUGCAUUUGCCAGAGAGAACCACCACUGACGUUCCCAGAGAAAGCCCAGGGCAGAACUGCACUUGCCCUUAAAGGAGAAGGCGAAAAGGGAAAUUUGUGUCGAGGGGUAACAUUAAGGCUGGAAGCUGAUUUCCAAGUGUGCAAGAUCCCUCUAGCCUGAGGGCCUGCCCACUG
rnacentral:lncRNA from 1 species